rnacentral:tRNA from 1 species
AAAAAGAUAAGCUAAAAAAGCUACCAGGCUCAUACCCUGGACAUAGAGGUUAUAUUCCUCUUCUUUUUA